UGGUUUAAUUCGAAGCAACGCGAAGAACCUUACCAGGUCUUGACAUCCCCUGCAAAGCUAUGGAGACAUAGUGGAGGUUAUCAGGGAGACAGGUGGUGCAUGGUUGUCGUCAGCUCGUGUCGUGAGAUGUUGGGUUAAGUCCCGCAACGAGCGCAACCCUUAUUGCUAGUUACCAUCAUUCAGUUGGGGACUCUAGCGAGACUGCCAGUGAUAAACUGGAGGAAGUGGGGAUGACGUCAAAUCAUCAUGCCCCUUAUGACCUGGGCUACAAACGUGAUACAAUGGCUGAAACAAAGGGCAGCGAAGCAGUGAUGUGGAGCGAAACCCAAAAAAGCAGUCUCAGUUCGGAUUGAAGUCUGCAACUCGACUUCAUGAAGUCGGAAUCGCUAGUAAUCGCGGAUCAGAACGCCGCGGUGAAUACGUUCUCGGGGUUU
rnacentral:rRNA from 1 species